rnacentral:rRNA from 1 species
UACGGAGGAUCCAAGCGUUAUCCGGAUUUAUUGGGUUUAAAGGGUGCGUAGGUGGCCUGUUAAGUCAGGGGUGAAAGACGGUAGCUUAACUAUCGCAGCGCCUUUGAUACUGACGGGCUUGAAUACACUAGAGGUAGGCGGAAUGUGACAAGUAGCGGUGAAAUGCAUAGAUAUCGAGAGGAACACCUGCGGCGAAGGCGGGUAGCUGGGCCGACACUGACGCUGAGGCGCGAAAGCCAGGGGAGCGAACGGG